rnacentral:lncRNA from 1 species
UAUGUUUCCAGGGGUAGCACUUUUACUGUUUAUUUGACCUCUGGCUUAAAAUAAAAAUAGCCUAUUCUAGCUUCAUCUCUGUUGCUGUGAUAAAAUACCCUAAUUAGGGAAGAAAUGGUUUUAUUUCAGCUCACAAUUACAGCUAUGGUGGGAAACUUAAGUCAAGUUAAAACAUUACAUCCACAGUAGGGAAAGAAUGAACACAUGCAUCCUUGCUUGCUUCAUCUCAGCUGGCUUUCUCUUAUGUUCAUAGUAUAUCGCAACCUCUUACCUAGGGAAUGGUGCCACCCACAAUGGGCUGAUCCUCCCACAUCCAUUAACAAUCCAGACAAUCCUUUACAGACAUGCCAGAAGACUCACCUGAUUUAGAUAAUUCCUCAUUAAGACCUUUUUUAAUUUUUUCUUUUACUUACACAGUCUUAUUCACACCAUGACUCUGAAGGAGUUUAAAUCAGCCCUGGCUGAUUUGUGGUGAAUGUAGCCCCACCGUGCACACAGAACAGCUGGGGAUUGAACACAGGUCAUCAGUCUUAGUACCAAGAGUCCCCUCCAUUGCCUUUGUAGAUUUGGGUCAUUGUUGCAGUUUGAAUGAAAAUGGGCCCCCCCAUAGACUCAUAGGAAGUGGCAUUAUUGAAAGUGUAGCCUAGUUGGAGAAAAUGUGUUACAUGGGGGUGGGUUUUGAAGUUUCAGACACUCAAGCCAAGCCCAGUGUCACUCUCUCUUUGUGUUGACUGUGGAUACAGAUAGAGAACUCUCAGCUCCUCUUCAGCAUCAUGUCUGCCUGCAUGCUGCCAUGGUUUCCACCAUGCUGAUAAUGGACUAAACCUCUGAAUUGUAAGCCAGUCCCAACUAAAUGUUUGCCUUUAUAAGGACUGUCAUUGUUAUGGUGUCUAUUCAUAGCAAUAAAACACCAAUGAAGACAAUCAUUUAUGUGAUUCAAAGGUAAUCAUGUUGACCACAGUCCCUAGUGUGAUUUCUUUAGUGGGCAGAUUUGUGUGUCUGGCAGAAGAGGACUUCUGUGACUUUGGGUCUUACUUUUGAGGAUUCCAAAGUUCUCUCAUUUAGCUUUCCAUCCCUACUAUGUGUUCAGGGUCUGCCUUUUCUGUCAUCUUGUCUUUUCUCUCAGUGCAAGGCCUGUAAUUAUGCUUACUUAUGGUCCAUCCGUAUUACAGGUAGUUGAUGUACCAGGGAACAUUUUUUUUUCCACUUUGUCACACCUGAGCUGGAUUUUCUAGUGGUUAUUAUUAUUUUAAACCAUCCUGGCUUCUUGCCAGCUUCCUUCUUUGUUCCAUGCAGGGUUUCCCCAUCUGCCCUUUCUGGGUAAAAGCUGACAAAGAAGGAGGGGAAAUGAACAGUCACUGGUUGGCUAUGAUUAUUUUUCAACAUAAGCAUGAGGUGUGAGGGAGUCUCUGUUUUAAAAAUCACAGUGUUGUAGUUUUAUUUGGUUUGGGGGUGCUUUUUAAACAAUAACUGCGAAAUGCAUUGAAUUUGUGGACUAGCAAAUUUUCAUUAUUGCUUUUUGAAAAAAAACCAAAAUAUUUUCUUUACAUACACACACACACACACACACACACACACACACACACAUCUGUUCAGUCUGUAGCAUGGAACUUGUAUGUGUUUGCACGACUGACCAUUCGGUAUCAGAUAACCCAUUGAUAUGCUCUUCCCUGGCAAAGACUGCUUCUCCCACUUAGCAUUCUUUACUUGCCUAUAGUCCUUUGCAUCGGAUCCAUGCCUUGUAGCCUUUCUCCUGUCCACAUUAGUGUAUCUUUUGUUCUUGUCCUUGCUCAGCAGUCAUGUUGAUGAGACUUUUGUGGGUUUAGCUUCUGACAUUACUAAGAGACAACAGCAUCACAGCAAACUCCCCACUCCUCUGGCUCGUGCAGUCUUUCCAUCCCCUCUCCUGUGAUGUUCCCUGCGCCUUGGGUGCAGGAGUCAUCUUAUAGAUGUAUCCAUUAAGACUGGCCUCCUCAGUUCCAUGUUUUGAUGACUGUGGUUUUCCGUAGUUGUCUCUGUUGCAAAGAGGUGUUUUCUUCAUGAGGAGUAAGGAUUACACUUAUCUGUCGGUACAGGCCAAAUAUUUAGAACGUGUUUAGGGAUAAUGCUAGUUUAGCAAUGUGGCAAUUGUAGGUUCCCCCCCCCCCAAGGUCCAUGAUUUCACUAGCUUGGAGACAUGGAUAGGUUUCUCUUGCACUGAAGGGGCCUUAAAGCCAAUUACAGAGUUGCCAGUUAACACCACACUCAUUUUAUUUUUAACUAUGUGAAUUUCUCUUUAUUUAUACCACAUGCGCAGUCAAAUGCCCAUGGAGGCCAGAGAAGGUAUCAGAUUGUCUGGACCUGAAGUUACAGGCUACUGUGAGCUGCCUACUGUGGGUGCUGGGAGCUGAUUAUGGGUCCUCUGGAAGAGCAAUAAUCACUCUUAACCACUGAGCCAUAUGUUCAGCUCCUGUCAUUCAUUAAUAUAUGCAUUCAAUAAGAACAUAUUGAUCACUAGUAAAGCACACUAGUCUGACAGCUUCCAGAAGAGACAGUAGCUGUUUCCUGAUUUCAGUGAUUGGCCAAUAGCAAGUUUCUAACCCCACCCCCAUUAUCUCCCUCAUCUCUCUCUAUCUCUCUUUAUUAUAUAUAAUGUAUAGUAUAUAGUAUAAUAUAUACUGUAAUUUAAAAUUGUGUGUGAGUGUGUGUGUAAUUUACACUUUUCUGUUAGGCACAAAGACACUGGCAGUCUAAUGUGUGAAGCUCUUCAGUGCCUGCAAUGGCACACAGUUCAGGAUGGCUUUAUGCCUUUAAUACUUGCAAAAGUGAGGAGUGUUGCACAUCUGCAUUCCCUGAGAAGGGAGAGGUAAAUAAUUACUUUGUGUAUACAGGUGUACAUGCAUGUGUGUGCAUCUAGAAGCCAGAAGACAAGCUUGGGUCUCAUUCCUCAGUGUGGUGUUCAACUUAGUUUUGUUUUUGCUUUUCUUUUUGUUUUUUUGAGACAGCAUCUCACUGUCCUGGAAUGGGGCAAGUAGGCUAAUCUUGCUUGGCUAGUGAGACCUAGAUAUGCAUCUGCCUCCACCUCCCCAAUACUGGGAUAGCAUGCACGUGCUAAUACAUGACUUUUUAACAUGGGUCUGGGGAUCCAACCCAAGGACAACCUUGAACUCCUGAUACUUCCACAUCUGCCUUCCCAGGGAUGGGAUCAAAGGCAUGGAGCCAGUGUAUGUGGUGCUGGAGAUGGAACCAGAGACUCAUGCACAUCAGGCAAACCCUCUACCACCUGAACUGCAUCCCUAGACCUUCUGCCAUCUUUUCUUUCAUCCCCCCCUUAUUCUUAGAAGUUCUUACAAGGUCUCUUGUAGUCCCAAGCUGGCCCCAAACUUUCUAUAUGGCUGAGGGUGACUUUGAGUUCUUGAUCCUCCUGCUUCCUCCUCCCAAAUGUUAGAUCACAGGCAUGUGCCACCAUGCCCCACUGGAGCAGUUCAAUUUAAACACCGGGGGAUCACAGGGAGCCUUUAUACAACAGCUUCGACAUCAGAUUACACUCCAUAGGUUAAUGUCAGCGCCCUGUGGCUUGCAUUGUGUUUGGUCACAUUGUAUGAAAUUGCUGAUCCUUGUCCAGAAAUGACAGUUUCAUUCAAUACAAUCUACCACCUCCAUCCUUUGAAAUUUGGCCCCCCUGUACCAUUGAGCUAGUGGCUUCAUUAAUGAGAACAGUCAGGUAACCACACUCUUUCUCAUCAUUAGUGAAUUAUUUAUUUAGUUUCAGCUUGUCAGGUUUUUUUUUUUCCUUACAGAAGUUCUUAUGUCCUGAGGCCAAGUGAAUUAUUCACGCUUAACUGAAAGAUCAGUUGUGGUUUUAGCAGUGUCUUCGUACUCCUCAACUUAUGGGGUCACAUUCCAAUGAGACUCUGUGAGUUGAAUAUAUCAUAGGUCGAAACACAUUUAAAAUUAAAAUUCAGAGCUGGGGAGAUGACUUGGUGCUAAAAGUGUUUGUUUGUUGCACAGGCGUGAGAAGUAGAGUUCAGAUCCCCAGAACCCUUAUAAAUGCUGGCAGAGUGUGUCAACGGCUUGCUUGUGAUUCCAGUCUCUGAAUGGGGAGGAGGGGAUCCUGAGAUCAAGCUGGCUCGUGUGACUAGCCAUGCUGGUGGGCUCUGGAUUUGAUUGAUGGACCCAGUCUCAGUGAAUAAGGUGGAAGAGCCACGAAGGUUGAUUCUUGACAUUAACCUUGGAUCUCCACAUAUAUGUGCAUGAGUGUACACACACACACACACACACACACACACAAAUAAAUGAAAAAACUUGCAGUGUAUAAGCCUAGUAUCCCUGUAGUCAGAAGGUUGAGGCAAGAGGAUGUGUUUUAGGACAGCCUAGGCUACAUGAGAUUCUGUCUC